rnacentral:misc_RNA from 1 species
UUUCCGUAGGUGAACCUGCGGAAGGAUCAUUAGUGAAUUGAAUAUGUUAGCGGACCUCUUCGGAGUCCCCAGCAUCAAAUCAUAUCCAUAACACCUGUGAACCGUAAGGCUGUCUUGAAAACAAAGUGAUUAGAGCGCCUGCCCAUUUUAUACAAACAUUAAAGUAACAAACGUAGUCUUAUUAUAAUCUAAUAAAACUUUCAACAACGGAUCUCUUGGCUCUC